UGUUCUUUCGUCGUAGCUGGUGCCGGUUUAAAAGCCGGAGAAUAGGGAAGUACGUGAAAGUCGUACACUGUACCCGCAACUGUACAACGGUAUACUGCUGAAGUCGUUCAUGGCCACAUGCAUGAGGACGGCAGUCGUUUCAGGUCACUGCAUCGUUUUCCGCCCAGGAAAACUGCGGGAAGGCCGGAACGGAGACAAGCCGUGAUAGUCAGGAGACCUGCCAGUUAUUUUUGCAUUAC
rnacentral:ncRNA from 2 species